GCUCAUAUCAGCUCCUCCUAAUUAAGUUGAAAUACAUCAGAAAUAUGGCUACAUCUCAGCUUAUCAAAACCAAUAUUAUUGUGCCUCUUCUUUUCUGCUUCCUUCUCAUUGCAGCCUUUGAGAUGGAAACCGCAAAAGCAACAUGCUGGGUUGCCUCAAAAACUUGGAAUGGGAACUGCUACAAUAGUAAUUGCAAAAAUUGGUGUGAUUCCCAAAUCAAUGGCCCUUACUACUGGAAGUGUGAGAAAUCCUGCGGCAAAAGCUAUUAUUCUUGUGGUUGCUACAAGGAUUGCUGAUUAUGCAUGGGAAUAUAUAUAUAUAUAUAUAUAUAUAUAUAUAUAUAUAUAUAUAUAUGAUCAAAUCAAAGGAACCAAUAUUUAUACUGCACUACUACUGCUGCAUGGGUUGAUUAUGAAACAAAAAUAUAAUGCAAAUAAAAUCUAUAUAUAAUAUAUCGACAACCUAGCUUGCAUUGUUGUCCUUCUGUUGUGUGUUGUUUUCAAUAGUGUACGUUGUUGUACUGUGUACUAUCAAAUAAGAGGCAUUUGCAUCUUUUAUUAUUGUGUAAUCAAAGAUAUGUAUAAAUAUAAUGGUUGUUGUAAA